UCCCUUUUGUUUCUCAGCUUCUGUCUCCUUUUUACUUCUCCUCUCCUCCUUACCCCUCCACUCCUAAUCUCCCCCCUUCUUUCCCUCUUUUUCUCCCUCUUCUUUCUCAUUCCCUUCUCCUCUCUGUUUGUCCCUCUGUCUCUCCAUCUUUCCCAGACAGGCUCUACAGGUCACUAGUUGAGGCUUCUUGGUUCCUCUGACAUCAGCCAAUCAGUCAUGUUUAGAGUGGGCAUUCCCUGGUGUAAGGUCCGCCCCCCACUGACCAUACAAGGUAACAGUGGAAUGCAUGGCUUGGCAGUCCGUCUGCUUCAUAAGAGAGACACAGAGAGCAGAGGGUGUCCCACACUGAUGAGCAGUCCUAUUACCGUCUGAUUUGAACUUCAGAAGGAUGCCAGUGGGCAAACCUGCUCCUCAACUCAUCACUAUUGCAAAAUCAGCCUUUUAGCAGACAGACAAGUCAAAGAACGAUUCAUUUCACCCAGGAAAACCAAGUAACCUGCCAGGGGAGAUGACAAGCCUUGAGAAAGCUCAUCAGUCUAGCAGCAAAGCAGUGAAGCAGCCUGCCAGCUGCUGCAGAUGUUCCCAGCAGCACCUCAGCUGCCCUGCAGCAGAGGACUCAAUAAGAACACUGCUGUGUGUAUUCACGCUCCGAGACAGAUGAGGUAGGACAAUCUCGAGGUGUGCAAGAAACGGACCAGGUGUUGCGGUUGAGAUAAUGGAGAUCAAAGAUGGAGCUCCAACAGAUUGCACUUGGGGUAAGAGAGAACAACUUCAAGACUCUACAGAGUGUUUCUCACUUUUUAUUCGGUUUCAGAAAAAUGUAACACAUUUUGAUAUGAAUCUAGAAAAGUUCCCAGACAGGCUUCUUAUCUUUCAGAACAACAUUGUUUCUGCUGAGAUUACAGGAAGCUAUUUCCACCAUUGCCUCCCUCCUUUGAAGUCCAGAGCUUUAGCUUUAGACGUUUACCAUAACUCUGGGCAAUAUAGUUACAGAUAAAACAAUAAGAAAAUACAGGGGCUCCACAUGAACUGACAAACCAACAUCAAAUGUGUUAGUAAGGUGUAGUUCCACCACAAGCCUCCAGAGCAGAUUCAGUGCUCCUUGUCAGAGACUUUCCGGGGUCUCUGGAACUCUACUGCAGGGAAGAAAAAGAAAUGCCGUCCUUUAUUGGUUUUAUGGUGGUGGAGAGUGCUGUCUCACAUAUUGUUUUCAUAAUCAAACCAUUCAUUGAGCCCUUGAGAAACUGAAUGGAAGCAACUGGAUUCGUUAGGUUUUGUCACAAAUGUGUUCAGGGUUUCCUUUAAAUGUCUCUUGUCUUCAUGUCUGCAAUGAAAUUAAAUAUUUGCUAAUAUUUGGUAUAUCUGUGGGCAUGACAUGAGUUAGUAUUUAAAUUAAUCAGUGAAACAAAUCCCUCCACGCGGCUCCGCCUCCAUCAGUGUGAAGAGUGUGUGAAUGAGGUCAAUUGUAAAGCGAUCUGUGUGUGUGUGUGUGUGUGUGUGUGUGUGUGUGUGUGUGUGUGUGUGUGUGUGUGUGUGUGUGUGUGUGUGUAUGUGUAUGUGUGCACAUGCAGGUAAUCAGAUGUCUGCUGUUGCAAUGUCUCUCUUUCAACCAAGUAUGUGUGUUGUAUUUCAGAUGUCAGAGAUGAGCAAGUACAGAGGUGAGUAACACACACACACACACACACACACACACACACACACACACACACACACAUGUGGAAUGUGAGAGGGAGCAGCAGCAUGACAGGAAAUUGGUAUUAUGUAGGUCUACUGGGGGUUAAAACCAUUUCCUGUUUACCCCUCCCCAACAAAAAUGUUUGUGCUGUGCACUCCAUCCCUCUCUCUCUCUCUCUCUGUCUCUCUCUCUCUCACACACACACACACACACUUAUUCACAUGCUAUUUUUGUCUCGCGCUGCUUUCACUGAUGUUUCAGACAUGUUAGAAAGACGUUAAACUGUGUCUUAGCUGUAAUAAAUAAAUAAAUAAAUAAAUAAAGAAACAGAAAUACAACAAACCUGAUUAACCUCUGCACUCAUACCAACAUUAUGCUGAUGGAGACACAUGCCAGUUCAUACAGUAAGCGAUUACUAAUUAUGUCAUGGGUUCACAAACCCAAGUCAUUCUCGCCAUCCUUUGAACAGCAUUGUGCAUGUUUUAUUCAGCUUUCAUGAAUUAUUUCCAUGUUUGCUCCUCUGUCUUUAGAAUAGACCCCUGUCCUUCAUGAUGCUGAGAGAAAUGUGUUUAUUCUGAUGUCAUCAUGUCUCAUCAUCAUAAGGCAAAUAUCACUAGCAUCACUCUGAUGCUAGCUUUAACUGGGAAUUCAGCUCAUUCUGAUUCCUAUCAGCUAGUGUUGGCUCAGCUGAGGUGUCUGUGGUUUCCUUUUGUAUAUUUCUUUGUCAACUGUAAAGACAGUUUGUAUGAUGUAACGUUAAAUCAGAAUAGAAAUCUAUGCAGAAGAUGCAAUAACAGGUUUGGUAAAAACUAAUUUCUCAAUACUGAGUUCAUUUAUUUAUUUUUUUUAUUUUUUACAACUCUUCACACAGUCAGCACAACAGAACUUGCAAAAUACAGCCUGUGACCACAUCUUUCAAUAUUCAUGAAGUUUUCUCACUCAAAGUCAAACACCUCCAUGCCUCUAUUUACUGUGCAUUUUGCACAUGUUUACAUACUGUUGUAAAUGUACAAUCCAUUCAAUAAAGAAUGGAAAAUGGAAUUGAAACACCGUUUGUGCCAAAUAGAUGAAUAAAUAAGAGAUACUUCAAAGACAAUAGCGAUUCAUAUUUUAAUGCUACCAGCUGUUAGUGUUGUUUCAGAUCAUCGUUCAGUGAGUAAUAAGACACUCUGUUACUGUUACGAGUCAAAUGUUGUCAGCGUUCUGGGACAAGAGUUGAUCCUGAGAUGUGUACAAAGUGUUUUGGUUAACAUUAGUGCAUUUUGGAUGUUAGAUUAACUGUAUGUUGGUAAAGAGAACUGUGUGAACUCAUUACAGAGAGAAACGUGUUAACGUUAGUAAAGAAAAACAACAACCUAUAAGAUGGUUUCUAAACUGACUGACUGUGCUCUGUUUGCCUCAUCCCUGUGUUUUUUUUCCAGUUGAGUUAUUCAUCCCUGUGGCCCAUGGUGCAGUGCUGCAUCUCUGGUCAGUUGGUAGUCUGAGAUGAAGCACUGUAGCUCGGGACAGAGGACAGAAAUACCAAUGGGAGCAUAGAUCCACAGCCAGGUAACAGCAUCCAGCAGCAGCAGGCCAGACAGGGAGGAUGAUAUGAACCAGGAUGCAACACUGCAAUCACAAACACCUUGUGGGUCACGGUCAGUAGUUUAGAUGAGACUGGACCGUCUCCCAAAGUUUGCUCAUUUUUGAAAUUCAUAGGGAAGUUGUUUCUGUUAGCAUCAAUUUAUUUAGAGGACAUAAAAAAACUAGUUGAAUUCAUCACAAAAUGAGGAUUAGCGACAAAUUUUAAAAAAUGUCACACCUUUGCUUGAUAUACACUGUAUAAUAAAAUAUUUUGUUAUUGUAUUUCUAACUAAUUUUAUAAAUUAAGAUCUAGUAUCAAAUGUAACAUUAAAAAUGUCAGAUUAAUGAAGUUGACCACAUUGUAAAUUACUUGACGUGUGUUCGCCAUGAUGUAUGUGUUUAGACAUGGCACCAUCGGCAGAAAAAUACAGACGUGACAUUUUCAAAUCGUCUAAUACGGGAGGUAUGGAAACCACAGCUCGACUUCUGCACGUGAGGAACGGGAUUAACCCGUUCCACUGGUGUGAUGAUGGAUGGAUGACAUCACUCGUUUUUUUUCUUCUCCUCUCUCCUGGGGUCCAGUUUUCCCAGGAAUCCCUUGACCUAUCAGAAAGGGGGAUUCCUGGAAAUACUGUUCUUGGGGGCGGGGCUUAUCAGCUAUUCCAUUUACAGUAUGUACCAUCAUUCUGUGUGGUGUGUGCAAUAAUGGUGUACGUUUUUAUAGAAUUAGUUUUGAUUGUAUUUAGUGUUUAGACACGAGAUAUUCAUUAUUGUUUCAAUCCUGUCCAAAGUCACAUCAUGUUCCUGUUUAUGAGAUUUGAAGAUUCUGAUUACUGCUCAUUCUGUUUAAUAAACAUUCAAAACAAAGAA